ensembl:piRNA 21ur-10347 ncRNA
UGCACCGUUUUAGGGUUAACC